rnacentral:rRNA from 1 species
GCUGAAAGCAUCUAAGCGGGAAACUUGCCUCAAGAUGAGAUCUCACUGGGAACUUGAUUCCCCUGAAGGGCCGUCGAAGACUACGACGUUGAUAGGCUGGGUGUGUAAGCGUUGUGAGGCGUUGAGCUAACCAGUACUAAUUGCCCGUGAGGCUUGACCAUAUAACACCCAAACA